rnacentral:rRNA from 1 species
CAAUAGCGUAUAUUAAAGUUGUUGCGGUUAAAAAGCUCGUAGUUGGAUUUCUGCUGAGAACGACCGGUCCGCCCUUUGGGUGUGUAUCUGGCUCUUUCUUGGCAUCUUCUUGGUGAACGUUGCUGCACUUGACUGUGUGGAGCGCUACCCAGGACUUUUACUUUGAGGAAAUUAGAGUGUUUCAAGCAGGCAUACGCCUUGAAUACAUUAGCAUGGAAUAAUAAGAUAGGACCUCGGUUCUAUUUUGUUGGUUUCUAGAGCUGAGGUAAUGAUUAAUAGGGAUAGUUGGGGGCAUUCGUAUUUAACUAUCAGAGGUGAAAUUCUUGGAUUUGUUAAAGACGGACUACUGCGAAAGCAUUUGCCAAGGAUGUUUUCAUUGA